CCUACGGGAGGCAGCAGUGGGGAAUAUUGGACAAUGGGCGCAAGCCUGAUCCAGCAAUGCCGCGUGAGUGAUGAAGGCCUUAGGGUCGUAAAGCUCUUUUACCAGGGAUGAUAAUGACAGUACCUGGAGAAUAAGCUCCGGCUAACUCCGUGCCAGCAGCCGCGGUAAUACGGAGGGAGCUAGCGUUGUUCGGAAUUACUGGGCGUAAAGCGUACGUAGGCGGUUAUUCAAGUCAGAGGUGAAAGCCCGGGGCUCAACCCCGGAACGGCCUUUGAAACUAGGUAGCUAGAAUCUUGGAGAGGUCAGUGGAAUUCCGAGUGUAGAGGUGAAAUUCGUAGAUAUUCGGAAGAACACCAGUGGCGAAGGCGACUGACUGGACAAGUAUUGACGCUGAGGUACGAAAGCGUGGGGAGCAAACAGGAUUAGAUACCCUGGCAGUCCACGCCGUAAACGAUGAUAACUAGCUGUCCGGGCACUUGGUGCCUGGGUGGCGCAGCUACGCAUAAGUUAUCCGUCCGUCGGGUAGGUACGGUCGCGAGAAGUAAACGUACGAAAGGAAGUAGUAACGGUCGUGAGACGUGCCGACGGACGACGACGAGGGAGGAGG
rnacentral:rRNA from 1 species